rnacentral:rRNA from 1 species
AUUUUGGACAAUGGGGGAAACCCUGAUCCAGCCAUCCCGCGUGUAUGAUGAAGGCUUUCGGUUUGUCAAGAACUUUUUGCAGAGAUGAAAAGUUAUCUCCUAAUACGAUAUACUGCUUACGGAAUCUGCAGAAUAAGCACCGGCUAACUACGUGCCAGCAGCCGCGGGAAUACGUAGGGGACAAGCGUUAAUCGGAAUUACUGGGGGUAAAGCGUGUGUAGGCGGUUCGGAAAGAAAGAUGUGAAAUCCCAGGGCUCAACCUUGGAACUGCAUUUUUAACUGCCGAGCUAGAGUAUGUCAGAGGGGGGUAGAAUUCAACGUGUAACAGUGAAAUGCGUAGAUAUGUGGAGGAAUACCGAUGGCGAAGGCAGCCCCCUGGGAUAAUACUGACGCUCAGACACGAAAGCGUGGGGAGCAAACAG